AUCCAAGUUCUAAAAGCUUGUUUUCGAUGAGGAUCAAUACCGAUCUACAUCGUUUGGUGCAUAGUGCCGCACUGGCAUUGCCCAGUAGAUAUAUGCACUGCUGAGCCCAUUGGCAGAUAGCAUUUGGGUCGAGUUGGGAGCUUUUGGAGAGCGUUAAAUCCGUAAAGUAGAGAACUUUGCAGUAGGGCCAAGCAAAUAUAGUGG